GACGAACGCUGGCGGCGUGCCUAAUACAUGCAAGUUGAGCGCUGAAGGUUGGUACUUGUACCGACUGGAUGAGCAGCGAACGGGUGAGUAACGCGUGGGGAAUCUGCCUUUGAGCGGGGGACAACAUUUGGAAACGAAUGCUAAUACCGCAUAAAAACCUUAAACACAAGUUUUAAGUUUGAAAGUUGCAAUUUCAUCACUCAAAGAUGAUCCCGCGGUGUAUUAGCUAGUUGGUGAGGUAAAGGCUCACCAAGGCGAUGAUACAUAGCCGACCGGAGAGGGUGGUCAGCCAGCUUGGGACGGAGACACGGCCCAGACGCCUACGGGAGGCAGCAGUAGGGAAACUUCGGCAAUGGACGAGAGUCUGACCAAGCAACGCCGCGGGAGUGAAGAGGGUUGUCGGGUCGUAAAACUCUGUUGGUGGAGAAGAACGUGGGUGAGAGUGGAAAGCUCAGCAAGUGACGGUAACUACCCAGAAAGGGACGGCUAACUACGUG
rnacentral:rRNA from 1 species